UACGGGGGGGGCAAGCGUUGUUCGGAAUUACUGGGCGUAAAGGGCUCGUAGGUGGCCAACUAAGUCAGACGUGAAAUCCCUCAGCUUAACUGGGGAACUGCGUCUGAUACUGGAUGGCUUGAGUUUGGGAGAGGGAUGCGGAAUUCCAGGUGUAGCGGUGAAAUGCGUAGAUAUCUGGAGGAACACCGGUGGCGAAGGCGGCAUCCUGGACCAACACUGACACUGAGGCGCGAAGGCCAGGGGAGCAAACGGG
rnacentral:rRNA from 1 species